rfam:Dipodomys ordii contig_65981, whole genome shotgun sequence.
GGGAAGUUGGCUUAGUAGUGGUAGAGUGCUUGCCUAGCAUGCAUGAAGCCCUGGGUUCAAUUCCUCAGUACCCA